UUAAGCUACUAAGGGCACUUGGUGGAUGCCUUGGCGCCGUGCAGCGAUGAAGGACGUGGUUAGCUGCGAUAAGCCUCGGGGAGCGGCAAACACGCAUUGAUCCGGGGAUCUCCGAAUGGGGCAACCCACUGCGCGCACACGUGCAGUAUCCCUUGACUGAACACAUAGGUCUCGGGAGGCAGACGGGGUGAAUUGAAACAUCUCAUUAACCCCAGGAACAGAAGACAACAGUGAUUUCCCAAGUAGCGGCGAGCGAACGGGAAAGAGCCCAAACCGUCGGUGUGUUAAAGCAAACGGGCGUUGCAUCGACGGGGUUGCGGGAGUCGUCCGGGGAAACCGUUUUUUCCCCAGGGAGUUACAAAGUCCAUGGCUAGUUGAACGGUCUGGAAAGUCCGACCACAGAAGGUGAUAGUCCUGUAAGCGAAAGUCAUGGACCUCCUGAUGAAUUUCCCAAGUACCGCGGGACACGAGAAAUCUUGCGGGAAUCUAGCUGGACCAUCAGCUAAGGCUAAAUAUGUCACGGCGACCGAUAGUGGACCAGUACCGUGAGGGAAAGGUGAAAAGCACCCCUAGCGGGGAGUGAAAUAGUACCUGAAACCAGGUGCCUACAAGCUGUCGGAGGAUCUUCGGAUCUGACGGCGUGCCUUUUGCAUAAUGAGCCGGUGAGUUAUCGUAUGCAGCAAGGUUAAGCGUCGCUGGCGCGAAGCCGAAGCGAAAGCGAGUCUGAACAGGGCGUACAGUUGCAUGCGGUAGACCCGAAGCCGAGUGAUCUAGCCAUGGCCAGGAGGAAGCGCGAGUAACAUCGCGUGGAAGUCCGAACCAGGGUGGGUUGAAAACCGCUUGGAUGAGCUGUGGCUAGGGGUGAAAGGCCAAUCAAACUCGGUGAUAGCUGGUUCUCCCCGAAAUAGUUUUAGGACUAGCCUCGUGUUAGUUUGCCGGAGGUAGAGCACUGAAUGGGCUAGGGGCCCCACAAGGUUUACCGAACCCAAUCAAACUCCGAAUGCCGGCAAUAUGAUGCACGGGAGUCAGGCUGCGGGUGAUAAGAUCCGCGGCCGAGAGGGAAAGAGCCCAGACCCUCGGCUAAGGUCCCUAAAUCCAGCCUAAGUGAUGGAAGGAAGUUGAACCGCUCAGACAGCUAGGAGGUUGGCUUAGAAGCAGCCAUCCUUUAAAGAAAGCGUAACAGCUCACUAGUUAAGUGGUUCGGCGCCGAAAAUACUCGGGGCUCAAGGUUGGUACCGAAGCCAGGGAUUCGUUGCUUGCAACGAAUGGUAGGGGAGCAUUCCGUAGGUGGGCGAAGCGGUGUCGUGAGACACCGUGGACACAUCGGAAGAGCCUAUGCCGGCAUGAGUAGCGAUAAAACAGGUGAGAAACCUGUUCGCCGUAAGCCUAAGGUUUCCUGAGCAAGGCUAAUCCACUCAGGGUAAGUCGGCCCCUAAGCCGAGGCCGAAAGGCGUAGGUGAUGGGAAUCCGGUCAAAAUUCCGGAACCUGGUUGAUUUCGUUCGUACGAUGGGGUGACGCAGAAGUGAAAGGUCAGCGCACUGAUGGAUGUGCGUCCAAGGACGUAGGAGGAGGGUCCAGGUAAAUCCGGAUCCUCAACUCCGAGAUCUGAUGGGGAAGCGCGCCUUCGGGCAAGCCAACUGACCCUAAUCAGGCUGCCGAGAAAAACCUCUAAGGAGAGAUCGACCAGACCGUACCGUAAACCGACACAGGUAGGCGAGGAGAGUAUCCUAAGGCGCUCGAGAGAACCCUGGUGAAGGAACUAGGCAAAAUGGCCCCGUAACUUCGGGAGAAGGGGCGCCACGAGUAGGUGUAGCGGUUCGCCCGCGAAGCCCAAAGUGGCCGCAGUGAAAAGGCCUUGGCGACUGUUUACUAAAAACACAGGUCUCUGCCAAGUCGCAAGACGACGUAUAGGGACUGACACCUGCCCGGUGCCGAUCUGUUAAGGGGAGGGGUUAGCCGCAAGGCGAAGCUCUGAACUGAAGCCUCGGUAAACGGCGGCCGUAACUAUAACGGUCCUAAGGUAGCGAAAUUCCUUGUCGGGUAAGUUCCGACCUGCACGAAUGGUGUAACGAUCGAGGCGCUGUCUCCACCAGGGACUCGGCGAAAUUGAAGUGGCGGUGAAAAUACCGCCUUCCCGCAGUUAGACGGGAAGACCCCGUGAACCUUUACUAUAGCUUCGCAUUGGGUCUAGGUAUUGCUUGUGUAGGAUAGGUGGGAGGCUGUGAAACGGGCACGCCAGUGUUCGUGGAGCCAUUGGUGAAAUACCACCCUAGCAAUGCUUGGGUUCUAACCUGACUCCGUGAUCCGGGUCAGGAACAGUGCGUGGUGGGUAGUUUGACUGGGGCGGUCGCCUCCAAAAAAGUAACGGAGGCGCGCAAAGGUUCCCUCAGCGUGGUUGGCAAUCACGCGUCGAGUGUAAAGGCAUAAGGGAGCUUGACUGCGAGACCCACAAGUCGAGCAGGAGCGAAAGCUGGUCUUAGUGAUCCGGCGGUCCCGCAUGGAAGGGCCGUUGCUCAACGGAUAAAAGGUACUCCGGGGAUAACAGGCUGAUCUCCCCCAAGAGUCCACAUCGACGGGGAGGUUUGGCACCUCGAUGUCGGCUCAUC
rnacentral:rRNA from 1 species